AGAGUUUGAUCUUUGGCUCAGGACGAACGCUGGCGGCGUGCCUAAUACAUGCAAGUCGAACGCUUCUUUCCUCCCGAGUGCUUGCACUCAAUUGGAAAGAGGAGUGGCGGACGGGUGAGUAACACGUGGGUAACCUACCCAUCAGAGGGGGAUAACACUUGGAAACAGGUGCUAAUACCGCAUAACAGUUUAUGCCGCAUGGCAUAAGAGUGAGAGGCGCUUUCGGGUGUCGCUGAUGGAUGGACCCGCGGUGCAUUAGCUAGUUGGUGAGGUAACGGCUCACCAAGGCCACGAUGCAUAGCCGACCUGAGAGGGUGAUCGGCCACACUGGGACUGAGACACGGCCCAGACUCCUACGGGAGGCAGCAGUAGGGAAUCUUCGGCAAUGGACGAAAGUCUGACCGAGCAACGCCGCGUGAGUGAAGAAGGUUUUCGGAUCGUAAAACUCUGUUGUUAGAGAAGAACAAGGACGUUAGUAACUGAACGUCCCCCGGACGGUAUCUAACCAGAAAGCCACGGCUAACUACGUGCCAGCAGCCGCGGUAAUACGUAGGUGGCAAGCGUUGUCCGGAUUUAUUGGGGCGUAAAGCGAGCGCAGGCGGUUUUCUUAAGUCUGAUGUGAAAGCCCCCGGGCUCAACCGGGGGAGGGGUCAUUUGGAAACUGGGAGACUUGAGUGCAGAAAAGGAGAGUGGAAUUUCCAUGGUGGUAGCGGUGAAAUGCCGUAGAUUUUAUGGGAGGAAACACCAGGUGGGCGAAGGCGGCUCCUCUGGGUCUGUAACUGACGCUGAGGCUCCGAAGCGUGGGGGAGCAAACAGGAUUA
rnacentral:rRNA from 1 species